GAUCAUGGCUCAGGAUGAACGCUAGCUACAGGCUUAACACAUGCAAGUCGAGGGGCAGCGGGAUUGAAGCUUGCUUCAAUUGCCGGCGACCGGCGCACGGGUGAGUAACGCGUAUCCAACCUUCCGUACACUGAGGGAUAGCCUUUCGAAAGAAAGAUUAAUACCUGAUGGUAUGAUGAGAUUGCAUGAUAUCAUCAUUAAAGAUCUAUCGGUGUACGAUGGGG
rnacentral:rRNA from 1 species